CCGAAUUCGUCGACAACAGAGUUUGAUCCUGGCUCAGGACGAACGCUGGCGGCGUGCCUAAUACAUGCAAGUCGAGCGGAACCAUUGGAGCUUGCUCCUUUGGUUUAGCGGCGGACGGGUGAGUAACACGUGGGCAACCUGCCCUGCAGAUCGGGAUAACUCCGGGAAACCGGUGCUAAUACCGAAUAGUUUGCGGCCUCUCAUGAGGCUGUACGGAAAGACGGUUUCGGCUGUCACUGCAGGAUGGGCCCGCGGCGCAUUAGCUAGUUGGUGGGGUGACGGCCCACCAAGGCGACGAUGCGUAGCCGACCUGAGAGGGUGAUCGGCCACACUGGGACUGAGACACGGCCCAGACUCCUACGGGAGGCAGCAGUAGGGAAUCUUCCGCAAUGGACGAAAGUCUGACGGAGCAACGCCGCGUGAGUGAAGAAGGUUUUCGGAUCGUAAAACUCUGUUGUGAGGGAAGAACAAGUACCAAGUAACUACUGGUACCUUGACGGUACCUCACCAGAAAGCCACGGCUAACUACGUGCCAGCAGCCGCGGUAAUACGUAGGUGGCAAGCGUUGUCCGGAAUUAUUGGGCGUAAAGCGCGCGCAGGCGGUCCUUUAAGUCUGAUGUGAAAGCCCACGGCUCAACCGUGGAGGGUCAUUGGAAACUGGGGGACUUGAGUGCAGAAGAGGAAAGUGGAAUUCCACGUGUAG
rnacentral:rRNA from 1 species